AGCGAACGCUGGCGGCAGGCCUAACACAUGCAAGUCGAACGAACUCUUCGGAGUUAGUGGCGGACGGGUGAGUAACACGUGGGAACGUGCCUUUUGGUUCGGAAUAACUCAGGGAAACUUGUGCUAAUACCGAAUGUGCCCUUCGGGGGAAAGAUUUAUCGCCAUUAGAGCGGCCCGCGUCUGAUUAGCUAGUUGGUGAGGUAACGGCUCACCAAGGCGACGAUCAGUAGCUGGUCUGAGAGGAUGACCAGCCACACUGGGACUGAGACACGGCCCAGACUCCUACGGGAAGCAGCAGUGGGGAAUCUUGCGCAAUGGGCGAAAGCCUGACGCAGCCAUGCCGCGUGAAUGAUGAAGGUCUUAGGAUUGAAAAAUUCUUUCACCGGGGACGAUAAUGACGGUACCCGGAGAAGAAGCCCCGGCUAACUUCGUG
rnacentral:rRNA from 1 species